CAUGAGUUAGAUGGAUCAGACCCGAAACCGAGUGAUCUAGGCAUGGCCAGGUUGAAGGUGCGGUAACACGCACUGGAGGACCGAACCCACAUCUGUUGAAAAAGAUCGGGAUGAGCUGUGCCUAGGGGUGAAAGGCCAAUCAAACUCGGAGAUAGCUGGUUCUCUGCGAAAUCUAUUUAGGUAGAGCGUCGUACGAAUACCCCGGGGGGUAGAGCACUGAAUGGGUAAUGGGGGCCUACAGCCUUACUGAUCCUAAUCAAACUCCGAAUACCCGGGAGUACUAUACGGCAGACACACUGCGGAUGCUAACGUCCGUAGUGGAGAGGGAAACAACCCUGACCUACGACUAAGGCCCCUAAUUCAUGGCUAAGUGGGAAAGCAGGUGGGACGACCAAAACAACCAGGAGGUUGGCUUAGAAGCAGCCAUCCUUUAAAGAUAGCGUAACAGCUCACUGGUCUAAAUAAGUUGUCCUGCGGCGAAGAUGUAACGGGGCUCAAGCCAUGAGCCGAAGUCUAGGAUGCACAUAGUGCAUGGUAGCAGAGCGUAGUGUGACAUAGAACUUAUCUUUAUUACCGCACAGGUGGCCGUGCGAGCAUUCGUGCUCAAGUAGCCCUCCGGGCGGUAGCACAAGAUACAGUUCUUUCGAUGAAGCCGGGGCGUGAGCCAUCCGGUGGAGAGAUCACUAGUGAGAAUGAUGACAUGAGUAGCGACAAAGAGUGUGAGAGACACUCUCGCCGAAAGUCCAAGGGUUCCUGCUUAAAGCUAAUCUGAGCAGGGUAAGCCGGCCCCUAAGCCGAGGGCGAAAGCCGUAGGCGAUGGGAACUAGGUUAAUAUUCCUAGGCCAGGAGGAUGUGACGGAUCUCGAAGAUUGUUUGCCCUUAUUGGAUUGGGCAGGCCGUUAAGAGGUUCCUGGAAAUAGCCCUCCAUGAGACCGUACCCUAAACCAACACAGGUGGACUGGUAGAGAAUACCAAGGCGCUUGAGAGAACUAUCUUGAAGGAACUCGGCAAAAUACCUCCGUAAGUUCGCGAGAAGGAGGCCCAGUUUCUACGCAAGUAUUGACUGGGGGCACAAACCAGGGGGUGGCGACUGUUUACUAAAAACACAGGGCUCUGCGAAGUCGCAAGACGACGUAUAGGGUCUGACGCCUGCCCGGUGCCUGAAGGUUAAAAGGAGGGGUGAGAGCUCCGAAUUGAAGCCCAGGUAAACGGCGGCCGUAACUAUAACGGUCCUAAGGUAGCGAAAUUCCUUGUCGGGUAAGUUCCGACCUGCACGAAUGGCGUAACGACUUCCCCGCUGUCUCCAAGAUAGACUCAGCGAAAUUGAAUUGCCUGUCAAGAUGCAGGCUUCCCGCGGUUAGACGGAAAGACCCCGUGCACCUUUACUACAGCUUCACAUUGGCAUUAGGCCGAGCAUGUGCAGGAUAGGUGGUGGGCUUUGAAACCAUGACGCCAGUCAUGGUGGAGCCUCCCUUGAGAUACCACCCUUGCUCUGCUUGAUGUCUAACCG
rnacentral:rRNA from 1 species